GUGUUUUGACCACCGAAGUUUUUUUUAGAAGGUAGUGCAGUUGUGAGGCGCCUUUUGAUUUGCACCCGCCUCCUAAGGGCGGGGAGUCUAUUCGGAUUUGGCUCAGAGCUUUGAAUUUGAAGAAACCUAAAAAAAAGUAUUUUAAGAAAAAAGAAACCGACCAUAUGUGUGUUCCUAUCACUUCGUGGACAAGAGGCCGACUGAAGAGCAUCCUUUCACUGAGAAGUGGCUGGGCUAUGAUCCUCCAGUACAGAUCAGAAGGCGAAAUCUCAUCGGUACAUCAACACAUACAGAUGAAGACAAUUGUGGUGAUGCAGAGUCUGAUCUGAGUGUGCCAAUGGCACCGCAGCAUAAAGAUGCUGAUACUCAAUGGGAGAUUCCAGCACUGACUGAUCACAGCUACGUGUCAAGAGAACCAGUCAACAACCCCACCUGCCACAAACAAACCCAAUGUGGUGGUGCAGAGUCAUUGACCCACACCAUCCUGAAGAAUGACACUAGCUCAGUGUUGUAUACUGGCCUUCCUCUUAGUGUUUUCUUUGACCAUGUAGCAUUUCUGCAGAAAUUCUACACGGCUAACCUCAAAAUGCAUAUCACUGAUCAAAUACUGGUAACCUUGAUGAAGCUGAAUCUACUCCACGGUGAUCUUGCUGAACACUUUUCUGUGUCCCAGGGAGUAGUGAGCAGAGUCCUUUCCUACUGGAUUGACACAAUGGAGGAGCUCAUGAGGAUCUACAUUCCAUGGCAGCCGAGGUUAGACAAUCCAGAAGACGCUGCCUCAGUGCUUCAAAGAGAAGUUAUCCAACACCACUUGUGUCAUCCACUGCUCUGAGACCAUUCUUCAGAAAGGACACAAUCUCGAUUCCAGAUGGGAGUCAUACAGCCACUAUUAUUCCAGCAAUACUCUCAAGUAUUUGGUUGCCAUUGCUCCAUGUGGACACAUUAUGUUCAUUUCUCCUGCAUAUAGAGGCAGAUGCAGUAACAAGUUCAUCACCCAAAACUGGCUUCCUGGAAUACCUUAGGCCUGGCGAUGAAGUUAUGGCUGACGGGCUUCACCAUCCGAGAUCUGCUGUAUGAGAGGAAGGUAAAACCUUGCCAUACCAGCCUUCACCCAGAAAGGAGGCCAGCUGUCUGACGAGGAUGUCGCAAGCACAAGAAGGAUAGCUAAUGUGCAUAUACAUGUUGAGAGAGUUAUCAGACUCAAGGUGUUCAAAUCCUCUCCCAGACUGUUCACAUCAACCUGACACACAAAAUGCACAAAGUCCUUAGAAUCUGUGCAGCACUUGUUAACAUGCAGGCUGAGAUCAUCCAUGAGGAUACAGAGUGAGCAGUGAGAAUGUUCAUACAUCUGAAAUGUAACUUUAAACACUAUAAUUUCAUCCACCUGACAUAGUGUGUGUGUGUGUGUAUACAUACACAUUUGUUUUAUCUGAAUUAUUUGUUCCUAUAUUUGAAAUGUACUGUAACUUUGCCUGUUCCUGGUAAUUACAGGCAUCCACAAGGUGCUGCUAUAAUGCCUUUUAAAAUCUAUUUCAAAUACAUUCUCUUCAACACAAAUGUCA